rnacentral:lncRNA from 1 species
UCUUCUUUUUUUUUCCUUUUCAGAAUUAAAAGGUUUGAGGACAUCCUUGUGGAAAUAUGGAGAGAAUUGAUUCAACCCAGCGAACCAACUUAUGAGUUAACUGUUAAAGGAGGAGACAAAGUUAAGCAUACAAAUAGAAGGAAUCGAGGUUACAAGUAUAAAUUUGCAACUUUAUGAUUUAUAAUUGAUGAUUCUAGGUAUAUGAUAUUAACUCUACUAUUAUGAAGUGAUUUUAGUAUAUAUAAGUAUAAUUUAUGCUAUUAGGUGUAUGGUACUCUAUUAUUAUAGUAUCAUGAUUUUAAUGUAGAAGUAUAAUUUUGUAACUUUAUAUUAUUAAUGGAUGAUUUNNNNNNNNNNNNNNNNNNUCGGGUGAGAUAUGAACAGAUUUAAAAUAACGUGUUUUAAAUCGGUUAAACCGAUUUAAUUUUGGAUUUUAAAUCGGAUCAAAUCUAGUUAAAAACUUCCAAUGACUUUUUAAACAUUUUUUCAAUCGGGCAAACGGAUUUAAUAAACUCUUUAAAAUCGGGCAACCCGAUGUAAUAAAAUCUUUUAAAUCGGUUCAAAACCCGAUUUAAAAACGGAAAACUUACUAAAUCGAUGGAAUUUAAAUCGGUCCCGGAACCGAUUUAAAAAGCCUUCCAGAACCGAUUUAAUAAGUGUUUUUUGCACUAGU